AUGUCAAUCCGCUGCUCCUGGUCUCCGAUGAUCACUGUUCGCCAUAGACGACCGGAUGAGUCUCUCUCCUCUUCCCUUUCACCUGGAAGACGCUUGGCAGUGGCCACAGGAGUGUCAUCUAGACACAAGUUGGCUGCAUAUUUGUGACUGGCCUGCCAAAAGGAGACAGCGCCUGAGGCAGGACUCAGACCGAGGACACUGCAGCUCGUUGCCAUUGUUGAUGAACUCCAGCGAGUCUGUCUCAUCAGGAGUCUCGAUGUCAUCUACGUUGAUGUCCAGGUCGUCGGGCGUUUCCAGAAACUCAUCAGAGAGCACCGAUCCCUCGCUCUGAUCCAGGGAGAG